UAGGGAAUAUUGGGCAAUGGAAGGAAUUCUGACCCAGCCAUGCCGCGUGCAGGAAUACAGUCCUAUGGACUUUAAACUGCUUUUAUUAUAGAGUAACCUGGGGGACGUGUCCCCCACUGCAAGUAUAUAAUGAAUAAGCAUCGGCUAACUCCGUGCCAGCAGCCGCGGUAAUACGGGGGAUGCAAGCGUUAUCCGGAUUUAUUGGGUUUAAAGGGUGCGCAGGCUGAUCGGUAAGUCAUGGGUGAAAAGUCACUGCUUAACAGUGAUCGUGCCUAUGAUACUGCCGGACUAGAGUUUAAGAGGUGUAACUGGAAUGUGAUGUGUAGCGGUGAAAUGCUUAGAUAUGUCACAGAACGCCAAUCGUGAAGACAGGUUACAAACUUAAUACUGACGCUCAUGCACGAAAGCGUGGGGAUCAAACAGG
rnacentral:rRNA from 1 species